UCAAGCGAAUAAGGGCGUACGGUGGAUGCCUUGGCACUGACAGGCGAUGAAGGUCGUGGCAAACUGCGAUAAGCCUUGGGGAGGAGUAAGCAUCCGUUGAUCCAGGGAUGACCGAAUGGGCAAACCCAUACAGGUAAAACCUGUAUAUCCGUCUACUGAAUAAAUAGGUAGCGGAAGCUAGACCCGGGGAACUGAAACAUCUAAGUACCCGGAGGAAAAGAAAGAGAGAUCGAUUCCCUAAGUAGUGGCGAGCGAAAGGGGAAGAGCCCAAACCGAUGUCUACGUUAAAGGCUGCAGCCGUUGUAACGUCGGGGUAAUAGGACCGUUUGAGCACAAUCUGCAAAUUGUGCUGCAAGUUACAAAAUAUCUGUUUAACUGAACCUGCUGGGAAGAGGGGCAAAGAGGGUGAUACCCCCGUAAGUGAAAAGCAGAUAUCUUGCAAGAGCGGCACCUGAGUACCGCGGGGCACGUGAAACCCUGUGGGAAUUCUCGAGGACCACCUCGAAAGGCUAAAUACUAGUCAGUGACCGAUAGUGAACAAGUACCGUGAGGGAAAGGCGAAAAGAACCGCUGUGAGCGGAGUGAAAUAGAACCUGAAACCGUAUGCUUACAAGGAGUAGGAGGGCUAUGCAGCAAUGUAUGCCUGACUGCGUGCCUUUUGUAGAAUGAUCCGGCGACUUACUUUAAUAUAGCGAGGUUAAGUGAUAGAAAUCACGGAGCCGAAGGGAAACCGAGUCUGAAUAGGGCGAUAGUUAUAUUAAGUAGACCCGAAACCAAGUGAUCUAUCCACGGUCAGGUUGAAGCAGGGGUAAGACCCUGUGGAGGACCGAACCGGUGUCUGUUGAAAAAGCCUCGGAUGAACUGUGGAUAGGGGUGAAAGGCCAAACAAACUUGGAAAUAGCUGGUUCUCCCCGAAAUAGCUUUAGGGCUAGCCUCGUGUGUUUCGUUGUUGAGGUAGAGCACUGAAAGAGCUAGGGGGUUUACCAAUCUACCAAACUCUAUCAAACUUCGAAUGCGACAACGUGAGAGCACGGGAGUCAGACUGCGGGUGAUAAUAUUCGUGGUCGAGAGGGAAACAACCCGGACCAACAGCUAAGGUCCCAAAAUGUAUGUUAAGUGAGGAAGGAUGUGGAAUCACACAGACAGCCAGGAGGUUGGCUUAGAAGCAGCCAUUCCUUCAAAGAGUGCGUAAUAGCUCACUGGUCGAGUGAUUCUGCGCCAAAAAUGAUUGGGGCUAAACAUACUACCGAAGCUUUGGACUCAGCAAUGAGUGGUAGGGGAGCAUUCUGUACCGGGAUGAAGGUUGAUCGUGAGGACGACUGGACUGUACAGAAGAGAGAAUGCCGGAAUGAGUAACGAUAAAAUGUGUGAAAAACAUAUUCGCCGAAAACCCAAGGUUUUCUGGGCAAUGCUAAUCAUCUCAGAGUUAGUCGGCCCCUAAGACGAGGCUUAACAGCGUAGUCGAUGGGAAGCAGGUUAAUAUUCCUGCACCGGUUUGCGGAGGUAAUCGUGAUGGAGUGACGCAGAAAGAUAAUGGCGCAGAGUGUUGGAUUACUCUGUUCUUAUGUGUAGGCUUGAUGUCCAGGUAAAUCCGGAUGUCUUAUGGCUGAGGCAAUAGGGGAGCUCGGGCAACCGAGUGAAGGUCAUGAUUCUAGGCUGCCAAGAAAAACUUCUAAACGCGAAGCAGACCGACCGUACUACAAACCGACACAGGUGGGUGGGGUGAAUAACCUAAGGCGCUCGAGAUAACUCUUGUUAAGGAACUCGGCAAAUUAGUCCCGUAACUUCGGGAAAAGGGACGCCUUUUUAGCGUGAAGUAGAACAUACGGAGCGUGAAGAGGUCGCAGAGAAAUGGGCCAAGCGACUGUUUAGCAAAAACACAGGGCUCUGCAAAAUCGUAAGAUAAAGUAUAGGGUCUGACACCUGCCCGGUGCUGGAAGGUUAAAAGGAGAGGUUAGCGUGAUUUAUCAUGCGAAGCUUUGAAUUGAAGCCCCAGUAAACGGCGGCCGUAACUAUGACGGUCCUAAGGUAGCGAAAUUCCUUGUCAGGUAAGUUCUGACCUGCACGAAUGGUGUAACGACUUGGUCACUGUCUCAACAAGAGGCUCGGUGAAAUUGUAAUGUUAGUGAAGAUGCUGACUACCUGUAGUUGGACGGGAAGACCCCGUGCACCUUUACUGUACCCUGACACUGUGAUUUGGCAACGUAUGUGUAGGAUAGGUGGGAGACUUUGAAGUUGGGACGCCAGUCUCGAUGGAGUCGUUGUUGAAAUACCACCCUUACUUUGUUGGAUUACUAACUGAUACCCGUUAUCCGGGAUCAGGACAAUGUCUGGCGGGCAGUUUGACUGGGGCGGUCGCCUCCUAAAGAGUAACGGAGGCGCCCAAAGGUUCCCUCAGCACGGACGGAAAUCGUGCGCAGAGUGUAAACGCAUAAGGGAGCUUGACUGCGAGACAAACAAGUCGAGCAGAAACGAAAGUUGGGGUUAGUGAUCCGGUGGUCCCGAGUGGAAGGGCCAUCGCUCAACGGAUAAAAGGUACGCCGGGGAUAACAGGCUGAUAGUGCCCAAGAGUUCAUAUCGACGGCACUGUUUGGCACCUCGAUGUCGACUCUCCGCAUCCUGGGGCUGGAGAAGGUCCCAAGGGUUUGGCUGUUCGCCAAUUAAAGCGGAACGCGAGUUGGGUUCAAAACGUCGUGAGACAGUUUGGUCCCUAUCCUCUACAGGCGCUGGAGAUUUGAGGAGAUCUGUUCCUAGUACGAGAGGACCGGAAUGGACGAACCUCUGGUACAUCGGUUAUCGCGCCAGCGGUACAGCCGAGUAGCUAUGUUCGGAAGGAAUAACCGCUGAAAGCAUCUAAGCGGGAAAUCUACUCCAAGAUGAGAUCUCCCCGGGACUUUAAGUCCCCUGAAGACUCCUCGAAGACUACGAGGUCGAUAGGAUGGCGGUGUAAGUGCGGUAACGUAUUCAGCCUACCAUUACUAAUCAGUCGUGAGGCUUGACCAU
rnacentral:rRNA from 1 species